CCCUUAGAUGUCCUGGGCCGCACGCGCGUUACACUGAUGCAUUCAACGAGCUUAUAACCUUGGCCGAGAGGCCUGGGCAAUCUUGUUAACGUGCAUCGUGAUAGGGAUAGAUUAUUGAAAUUAUUAAUCUUGAACGAGGAAUUCCUAGUAAACGCAGAUCAUCAAUCUGCAUUGAUUACGUCCCUGCCCUUUGUACACACCGCCCGUCGCACCUACCGAUUGGGUGGUCCGGUGAGGCUUUGGGAUCUGAGCGGAAAGAGCGUUUCGCUGUUUCUGCUCGGAAAACUCAGUCGAACCUUAUCAUUUAGAGGAAGGAGAAGUCGUAACA
rnacentral:rRNA from 1 species